AGGAAAAUGGAAGAGAAUGGUCUCAUUUGCUUAAUUCUUUCUCUCUCUUCACUCAAAACUCAGAGUUGCUCUGCAACUCUCGCCUCACCUCUCCAUCUUCACCACGGCCAACACCUGCCGGAGAAGACGGUGGCGGCCGGCCAACCGUGGCGGCGCCGCCUUCUUCUCCGGCAACCCCCACCCCAAAACCUAAAUGUCUAAACACAAACCCCGCCUCUUUUUGGCCGGAGAAUCCAAAUCCGGCCUCUUUUUAACCUAAAUACUCUUCCUCCGGCCGGAUCGGCGCCCCUCUGAAAAUGGAGAUUCAAAACUCCGUUCGAUUCUCAACAUUAACCACGCGUGGCAACUGCUAAUGGAUUCGACACGGCGAGCGGUAAGAAAACAAAAAAAACACCCUAACCCUAAUUUAUAUUUAAACCCAGCAAUCACUAUGAUUUCAUGAAAUUAACAAAGGGGUUUUGUUUUAAUUACAGCAAUGAACAAAAUGACAUAUGAGUUUCAAGAGAAGAAGGAGAGAAGAGAGCUACUUGGUUUGCGUCGUCGGCGGUCACACAAAUGAAGAGGCUUUGAUUGAAAGGAGAAGUAUGCGCCAGCUUUUGGAGGAGGUUAGAUUUUGGGCGUUUCAAUUCCAAAGGGUAGUUCGACCUGCAGGACGGUCUUGGAAACUGGUUUCAAAAGGCUUUGCCUUCAAUUUUGAAUUUGCAGCACAACACUUAAUUACUUUGACGUAACGUUUUGCAUUUUGGAUAAUUGUAUUAACUUUGGGACUGUUUGUAGCAUAUGUACAUUUUUAAUUUAAGACCUUUUUUGGACAAUUAUGUAAAUGCUUUUGGACUAUUUAUAACAUUUUGGAUUAGAAUUCA